AGCAGCAGCAGCAGCAGCAGCAGCAACAGCAGCAGCAGCAGCAGCGGCAGCAAACCCCCUGGCUUCCCUGUCUAUGAAAAGAAGGAGGAUCACCCUACUCUUCUCCUGGGACUCACUCUGAAUGGAGUAACCAUCUAUCAAGAUGUAGACAACACUCCAUAGCUGCUCUACGACUUUCCCUGGUCACUUCUUUCAAAGGUGACAUUUCUGGUGGGCGUCUGAAGGGGCAAGGCAUCUAUAAACUCAGGAGUCCAAAGAAUCCUGGACCCAACAACCUCAUCCUCACCAACGCCAUCCAGAGCUCCCUGAGUUUCUCCACACCCUCAGGCAUCUCUCAGUCCCCACAUCCAGGUCUGGUAUUGAACUCACAGUGGUAUUUAACUCUCUGAUUGAGGUACAGCUCUGAAUGCCAACAAUGCCCCACUCACCAACAAAAGGAAUAACCAUGGUACCUUAGAGAUACAACUGUUAGCCUCUGUCACUCUUCCACAUUCCCUAAGACAUGACAGUGGGGAUUGGUGUACAGCAGAAUGGCCCCAAACACUGAUUAUGGUUCACUACAAACCCUGCAUGCCAGACUUGUGUACAGCCAUAAGUAGGGGGGUCCUAGAUAGAAGGGCUGGCCCAGGUUUCUUCUGCAUUCUUAAGGCUGCAGAAGGAUGGUACUCACAGUGACCUGAGACCUGUUUGCACAGGGUCACCAGUUCUCAACCCUGGAAAUGUGGGGCCAGAACCAAGUAGGGGCUUAUGAUUGACAUUCAUGUAUUUCUCUCCUGCUUCUGGCACAGUUUUCUGGACUGUAAAAUCACAUUGUCCUUCCUGUCUGUCCAGAAUGGCUUUCGGCAACACAGAAGCUAUUUUUCUACACGGGCCAUACCUGGCGCUCCCGUUUCCUGCUGCAACUGCCCUGCUUUGCACUACCCAUUGGUUUCACCUCAGCUUGGAGCCUGUGCUGCAGUGGCUACAAAAGCUGGAGGAGGCAGAAAGCAGAGAAGAAGAGCGAUCAGGAAUCCUAUAUCAGUGACCUGCUGGAGCUAAACCUGGACCUGGAAGCAAGCAGCAGGAACUCCCUGGGUAAUGAGGACAAUAAGAGCAGCACACAGCAUCUCCACUGCCUCUCAUUCUGCUCCAAAAGCCAUGGCAGCUCCCACACAGCAGGCAUCAAGCCUAAAACCCAGCAGGGAUAAUGUGAGAUAUCUGGGAUGAGCCCACAGGGACCUCAAGGUUCUGUGGAAGGACAUCCAGUGGUUCCUCGAGCAGCUGCAGCAGCCAGGACUCAUGGAACUACAGUGGAGGUGACCUAUAGGACUAGCAGCCACCCAGAGACCUUUGCAGAACUGUGGGUCAUGCUAAUGAGAAUGAGGGGCCAGAGGUCACAUCCCAGGGCUGCUACCAGACAACUCAGGACCUAUGAAACUUGAGUUCCCACCACCAUAGGGCACCAGAGAGACUACACUAGAGGCCCUGUGAAACCUAGGUAGAGUACAAUGUGCAUGACUCUACUAUCUGUGUGGUAUGUGUAGCGUCUUCAGAGCAGAACCUAAAGUUUGUCAUGGCUAAGUCUGUCAUGGCUGAAAAGCAUAACUUUGCCCAUCAAUGUGGAACAACUGUCAAUUGAUAGAACCCAGAGAGUCAGUGGACAAGUUUAAGUCAAAGGUGGCCCUCCUUAAAUUCUCAGAUGCUUCCAGGGUAGUGUAUAGCGACCACAUCCAGAGCCAUUUCUGAAAGAUAUAAGUGCAAAAAGAUGACAAUGGGGUGGGAAUUCUUAUCAGGCCAGCAUCCCUUGGUUCCAGUGGGGACCCAAAGAGGUCAUAUACCAAGGCAUGGAGGCUGUCUAGAACAUCUAGGAUGUUUCAGAGUUACACAAGAGCCCACGGCCCAGCCUGGAAAAAACCCUAAAGUAUCAGAAUUAUCAGCGAUUCUAAGGUAGGGUGGGAUAUGGACUAAUGAAUGCUCAGGUGGUUGAAGGAAUCAGCCCAAGGUAAACUUCAGGGAAGUGUGUUGUGAGAGCUAAGACAGGGCAUACCAACAGGAUGGCCUAUCAGACCCAGGAUAGAUAGCCUAUGCCAGAAUUAGAACUGUCUGGGUAGAGCUGGCUUCUGUGGCUGUAGGAGCACUGAAAGCACAUAUGCAGGAGGACUCCCAGCAUACUCUUAUAUCUCU